rnacentral:rRNA from 1 species
UACGUAGGGCGCAAGCGUUGUCCGGAAUUAUUGGGCGUAAAGAGCUCGUAGGCGGCCAGGGAGGUCCGUUGUGAAAACUCGAGGCUCAACCUCGAGACGCCGAUGGAAACCUCCUGGCUAGAGUCCGGAAGAGGAGAAUGGAAUUCCUGGUGUAGCGGUGAAAUGCGCAGAUAUCAGGAAGAACACCCGUGGCUAAGGCGGUUCUCUAGUACGGUACUGACGCUGAGACGCGAAAGCGUGGGGAGCGAACAGG